CUUGGUCAUUUAGAGGAAGUAAAAGUCGUAACAAGGUUUCCGUAGGUGAACCUGCGGAAGGACCAUUACAAGUGAGGCUACCGAACGUUGGAAACAGCGGUUAGGAGCUUACACCCACCCGUGUUUACAUACUAUUGUUGCUUUGGCGGGCCGUGGCCUCCACUGCGGGCUCUGCUCGUGUGUGCCCGCCAGAGAACCAAACUCUGAAUGUUAGUGAUGUCUGAGUACUAUCUAAUAGUUAAAACUUUCAACAACGGAUCUCUUGGUUCUGGCAUCGAUGAAGAACGCAGCGAAAUGCGAUAAGUAAUGUGGAUUGCAGAAUUCAGUGAAUCAUCGAAUCUUUGAACGCACAUUGCGCCCUGUGGUAUUCCGCAGGGCAUGCCUGUUCGAGCGUCAUUUAACCACUCACGCCUAGCGUGGUAUUGGGGCACGCGGUCUCCGCGGCCCUCAAAAUUAGUGGCGGCGCCGGUGGGCUCUAAGCGUAGUACAUACUCCCGCUAUAGAGUUCCCCCCGGUGGCUCGCCAGAACCCCCAAUUUUUUACAGGUUGACCUCGGAUCAGGUAGGGAUACCCGCUGAACUUAAGCAUAUCAAUAAGCGGAGGA
rnacentral:rRNA from 1 species